UCCAAUGAUUAUUAUAGCUUUGUAGCAGUAGGAAACUAGGAAUCUGUAUGACUCGAGAAUGCACUCAAGUGCAGCACUACUUGCAGGGUACACAACGAUGAUGAGGUCAGAGCCUUGUUUAAGCAAGUGCAAGGAGAAGUUCCUAGAUCUCCUAUAUUUAUGAUGAAAGUGGCAUCUCAGAGCCAACAUCUAGAGGUUCAAUUGCUCUGUAACAAGCAUGACAACGUGGCAGCACUGGACAGUCGAGACUGUAGUGUUCAAAGAAGGCACCAAAAGCGCGCUGCCGAAUGGCAGGGCCCGUCCAUUCGGUUUUGAUCUGAUCGGGGGCUUCCUUAUCCUUUGGCUUACGAUUCGAGGUGCGCUCGUGCGUGCGCACGAUUUCGUCUUGAUUUCUGGUGAGUGACUGAGAUCUGCUCUGCUCUGCUCGGUGCCGGAAAACUCAAGGUUUCAAUCGAGGUCAGUUCGUUCGUUCGUUCGAUAGAAGCUGAUUCAGUUGAGCCCUUAUAUUGCUGUUGCGGCUUCCAAUAAUUGAUGCGUAACAGUUCUGAGACACACAUACUGAUGCUACUUCAUGCAAUCAACCCGCUAAGCUAAGUUAAAGUUUGGUCUUCCAAAUGGAUACUAGCACCACCAAACAUUAGGGAUUCACUUUAGCUAUAUCAUCCUUAGUAGAUUCUCUGCUUAGUAUUUGCACCUCUUCAUCUCAAACUUGCUAAUUCUGUUUAUGGCUCGCAUUCGUUCUCUUUUCUUUGGGACAUGGGUAUCGAUGUUAGUAUUUUCUAUCAUUAUCUGAACCUUGGUAGGCUGAUGGUUGAUUUUAUACUCCCUUCUGUAUAUAGCCCCUUUUGCAAUCUGAGUUUAUUAUUUCAUAUGUGUUCAUCAAAUUCGGCCUCUGGGUGGCAGGAUUAGCCCAUUUAAAUCAGUCUCUGCGCAAACAUAAGUCGCUGCUAUCCAAAAACCUGUAGAACUAGCUUGCUGUGUAUUUAUUUUAACUCACAUAUACAAGGGGUAAAUAAGCACGAAUCGAAAAAGAACACCUAAGAUUUCUUUAAUUGUGCUCAUUUUUACAUUAGUAGACAGAAUUACAUAAGUUUGCCUCUACCACUAUUGAUAUCAGCGAUGAAAUUUAGCUGCUUUUUAGUUCUAGGCUGAAAAUGAUGCUGAAGUUCUAAACAUUCUGUUUGACUGAAUUUUUUCUUGAUGUGCAGCUGAAUUAGGGAAGGAUGCCGAAGUUACAUGUACACAACCCUUAUAUUCUACUCCCUCCGUUCCAAAUUACUUGUCACAGAUCGCUCGCUGAAGUUAUUCGCCUUUGGUUACCCCAGGGGGAAAUUUUCAAGCUUGCUUCACGGGCAGUAGCUCCUCCUUCCCCAACCCCACUUUGUCUCCCCUGUGAUUUGCCUGUUCCUGAUCUUGGUGGCUGGCAUGUCUCAAAUUCUCAUUGGGCAGGGCUACUAACGUAAUGGAGCAAACUGGAAAUUCCACCUGCAUAUUUUAGGGUUCUUGCGGAUCAUGCUGGUCACUCCGGGGCAUUGGAGUGGGCCAACUUCCUAACGACGGGCAAGAUGGAGCUGAUCGGCUGCUCGGCAGCGACCAUGAGGUGAGGCGUGGUGCCAGCUGCAGCGGGUGCAGGAAGCAACAACAUAUAAAGAUGGGCGCCGAGGUACACCGUUCACUCCCUCAAAAAGGAAGAAUCAACGUAGUAGCUAGCAUUCAGUUUUAGAUGCUAUGUAUUUCUGAUUCUUUUUGGCAGUAGAGAGCUAUGUAUCUCUGGUUAUCAUUUUACCUGUUGGACGUGCUUCUAGGACGUGCUUCUAAUCCACUCUGCAAGAAUAUGACCUCUCUAUGUUAAUAUAGACCUACCACUAAACGGUUUGCUGCUGCA